GGCCGGGUGGUAGAGUGGUUAUACAGAGGAUUGCAAAUCCUUGGACGUCGGUUCGAUUCCGGCCCCGGCCUCCA
rnacentral:tRNA from 1 species